rnacentral:snRNA from 1 species
GUGCUCAUUUUGGCAGCACAUACACUAAAGUUGCAAUGAUACAGAGAAGAUUGGUAUGGCAUCUAGGCAAGGAUGACAUGCAAAGUGGUGAAGUGUUCCUUUAUUUA